CAGGUAUGAAGCAAACAGAUGAAAGCUUUGAUGUACCUGUGAGUGACAAACUGGCAGAACCUGAGCAGCUGCUGGAGUCUGUGGUAGCUGUUGAAGGAAAGGGUGAUCCAAGUGUAAAGAAAGGAAGAAAAGAUGAAUCAAGUGUAGAUACGAAUGUCUAUGAAACACCUUUGGAAGAAUCCCACUUAAAAGAUGGCAAUGUUAAUAUUACGAUGGUUGCCAUAACCCUUGAGUCUGAGGUAGAAAACAAACACAUGAAAAGUAACAAUAUAAAGGAUACAGAAGAUACGAAGAAGACUAAAAGUGAAACAGAUCCGAAGCUGCCACUCGUUACAAGUCAGGGUCCCAAGCAGCCUGAGUUAGGAGAGAAGCUGCUGGGUGAUUCUGGCGAGUCGUCUCUGCCCAGCAAAAAGACUUACAGGCCAUUAUUUGAAUGGGCCGGUGCAGAGAAAAGAAUGUCAAGCUCCAGAACAAAGUCAGAUGUCACCAUAGCGCACCAGCCAAUCCAGGGAUCGUCUCUGUCUGAGCAGAAUACAACUGCAACUGCUGGAUUCCCAGGACAUCCUGCCAGCACAAUAAUACCCAAGCCCCUCAAAAGCAAACACGACAAUGUCCCCUUGGUGAUUAUGAGGGCGUCAGACCUGUUGAAUGCCUCCAGUGUCUGUGGGACCGCACCUUCCCUGAGGAGAAAGCAGCAGGGACUCUGGGAAGCAAUGCAGGAGACCUGCAGAGAGAGAAGAGCAGCAGAUAUGGAUGGCAGAGCUCCUCCGCCAAGCUGUUCUUUUCCAGCCUCCAGCACAGGCAGCAAACUGUCAUGGCAAACCACUGCAGAGUGUAGCAGAGCUCCUACCUUAGCUGCAGGUCCUAGUUCAGAGUCCGAUUGGGAACUCUCCUGCUCCCAGGAG
ensembl:lncRNA